rnacentral:rRNA from 1 species
AUUGAACGCUGGCGGCGUGCCUUACACAUGCAAGUCGAACGGUAACAGGUCUUCGGAUGCUGACGAGUGGCGAACGGGUGAGUAAUACAUCGGAACGUGCCCGAUCGUGGGGGAUAACGAAGCGAAAGCUUUGCUAAUACCGCAUAAGAUCUACGGAUGAAAGCAGGGGACCGCAAGGCCUUGCGCGAACGGAGCGGCCGAUGGCAGAUUAGGUAGUUGGUGGGAUAAAAGCUUACCAAGCCGACGAUCUGUAGCUGGUCUGAGAGGACGACCAGCCACACUGGGACUGAGACACGGCCCAGACUCCUACGGGAGGCAGCAGUGGGGAAUUUUGGACAAUGGGCGCAAGCCUGAUCCAGCCAUGCCGCGUGCAGGAUGAAGGCCUUCGGGUUGUAAACUGCUUUUGUACGGAACGAAAAGACUCUGGUUAAUACCUGGGGUCCAUGACGGUACCGUAAGAAUAAGCAUCGGCUAACUACGUGCCAGCAGCCGCGGUAAAAC